AACAUUCAUGCAAUGUUCAGUAAUUAUUGUUGUAUUGGAAUAAUCUUGUUUAUGCGUUACCCGCAGCUGCAGCGGCCUGCAAUUAUAAUAAUACUCUAUAGUUUAUUAAUAAGUUCAAAAAUAAACCCAAGUCCAAAUAAUUAUAAUAUCUCAUUAGUCAUUAAACAUUAUUAUAAACAUAAGCAUUGGUUUUCAGUUUCGGAUUUCGGGGAAACCGAACCCGCAGCAGUGACCUCGGCUGUGCUUUGCAUUCUUGGCGGGAGGUAUUAAUAUCAUUAUCCUGACGUAACUGGUAGUGAGGUGUCACGAUUCACGAAUCUCAACUUUACUGCUCUAUAUUACGAAUGAGUAAAUAAUGACUAAUGACUAUACCCAUUAUUAUUAAUACUUAUAAUUACAGUAUUACCAAUUACCAGAUUACCUACAUCUUUCUUUCUUUAACCGCCUUUUGCUAUCAUGCGACGAGCAUAUUGAGUUAAGGUACAUUGAUACUUGUUUUACUGUUUAAAACAGUUUAAUAUAUUUUUACAACGUGUUUAUUUGUUAAUUGUUUGAACGAAACAAAAUGAAGCACAUUAGUGGAUAAUUCUCGUCUCCUCCAGUUGUUAAACAGGUGAGUUUGGAAAAGCAUAUAGCGUUAUCUGACCAGACUGCAUCACUAUCGGAGACACCAGUUCUGAGCCUCAAUAUAGCACUAUUUUAACUUGCCUGAGGUAAGUCAAGUAAACAUAUAUCUAAACAUUCAUAAAUAUUUUUACAGUACAAAUUCCUUAGAAUUCCUAAAUAAAUUAUUAAUACAGUGAAACUUCCGUAUAAUGAAGUCACACGAGGAACAUAAGAAAUUCAUACUAUGGAGGAAUUUUGUUAAAUAGAAUUAAUGCAUGAUUAACAAUGGAGGUCAUGGUUCUCAAAAAUAAUUUGAUAAACAGAACAUUUUGUUAAAUGGAAGUUUGUUAUAUGAAAGUUUCACUGUAGUUAUUUUAACAGGGUUGCUACGCACUCACUAUUCUCACUAUUUUUGAGUGUUCUCACUUUUCACACUUAACUUUCCACAUUAACUUUUAACGCUAAUGAUUGAAAAUUUAAAACAAGGUUCCAGGUAAAUAGGUUAUAUUAUAUAAAUUACUUUAUUUACAAUAAUAUCAUCAAAUAUACUUAGAAAUAUCAUAGGUCUUCGAUCAGAAUCGUUUUUCUUAUACAGUGAUAUUAUAUAAGUAGUAAUACAAAAAAAAAUAUUUAAAUAAGGAUAACCUAUAACUAUUUUCUCAGUAUUCCAUACACGUUCGUUGAAUUAAAAAUAAUAGUUAACUUGCCCAGUUGUAAAUUUUGUAAAAAAAA